rnacentral:rRNA from 1 species
GCCCAACCGUAAACUCUUACUUACACCUCAAUCGCCAGGGAACUACGAGCUAAGCUUAAAACCCAAAGGACUUGACGGUACCCCAUAUCCCCCUAGAGGAGCCUGUCCUAUAAUCGAUAAUCCACGUUUAACCUCACCAUUUCUAGUUAAUCAGCCUGUAUACCUCCGUCGUCAGCUUACCACGUGAGCGCUUAUUAGUGAGCUCAAUGCCUUUCACCAAUACGUCAGGUCAAGGUGCAGUAAAUGAGAUGGAAAGAGAUGGGCUACACUUUCUACUUUAGAAAACACGAAAAACUACCUAUGAAACCUAGUUGGAAGGCGGAUUUAGCAGUAAAAAGGAAUCAGAACAUCCAUUUUAAUUUGGCACUGGGGUGUGU